CGCGUAGGCGGGAAGAUCAGUCAGUGGUGAAAGCUUGGGGCUUAACUCCAGGUCUGCCAUUGAUACUGUCAUUCUUGAGUUCGGAAGAGGGAAGUGGAAUUCCUGGUGUAGCGGUGAAAUGCGUAGAUAUCAGGAAGAACACCGGUGGCGAAGGCGGCUUCCUGGUCCGAUACUGACGCUGAUGCGCGAAAGCGUGGGGAGCAAACA
rnacentral:rRNA from 1 species